rnacentral:rRNA from 1 species
GAUGAACGCUGGCGGCGUGCUUAACACAUGCAAGUCGAACGGUGAACGAGGGAGCUUGCUCCCUCCGGAUCAGUGGCGAACGGGUGAGUAACACGUGAGCAAUCUGCCCUGGACUCUGGGAUAAGCGUUGGAAACGACGUCUAAUACCGGAUACGAGGCGUGGGGGCAUCCCCAACGCCUGGAAAGAACUUCGGUCCAGGAUGAGCUCGCGGCCUAUCAGGUAGUUGGUGAGGUAAUGGCUCACCAAGCCUACGACGGGUAGCCGGCCUGAGAGGGUGACCGGCCAUACUGGGACUGAGACACGGCCCAGACUCCUACGGGAGGCAGCAGUGGGGAAUAUUGCACAAUGGGCGAAAGCCUGAUGCAGCAACGCCGCGUGAGGGACGACGGCCUUCGGGUUGUAAACCUCUUUUAGCAGGGAAGAAGCGAAAGUGACGGUACCUGCAGAAAAAGCACCGGCUAACUACGUGCCAGCCGCCGCGGUAAAAC